rnacentral:rRNA from 1 species
GCACAAGCGGUGGAGCAUGUGGUUAAUUCGAUGAUACGCGAGGAACCUUACCUGGGCUUAAAUGUAGAGUGCAUUUUUUAGAGAUAGAAAUUCCCUUCGGGGCUUUCUGCAAGGUGCUGCAUGGUUGUCGUCAGCUCGUGCCGUGAGGUGUCGGGUUAAGUCCCAUAACGAGCGCAACCCUUAUCGUUAGUUGCCAGCUGGUAAAGCAGGGGACUCUAGCGAAACUGCCACCGUAAGGUGAGAGGAAGGUGGGAUGACGUCAAAUCAGCACGGCCCUUAUGUCCAGGGCUACACACGUGUUACAAUGGCCGGCACAGAGGGCAGCUACCUGGUGACAGGAUGCUAAUCUCGAAAACCGGUCUCAGUUCGGAUCGAAGUCUGCAACUCGACUUCGUGAAGCUGGAUUCGCUAGUAAUCGCGCAUCAGCCAUGGCGCGGUGAAUACGUUCCCGGGCCUU